rnacentral:lncRNA from 1 species
AGACCCAGGGCCCACUCAGUAGUUUCUGCACCCUAAACCAAGGGGAAGACGGUAGGGACAGCAGGAAAGGGGAGCAUGCGUGAAGAUGCAGGAAGGGGACCAAGGCCAUGUCCCCAAGAUGUCUGCUCAGAGAUGGGUAAGGACGUGUGGCUAAACCCAUCUUACACAAGAAACUAAGUUCCCACCCACUUCUCACCUCAGCGAAAAAGGCCUUGAGUUGGUUGAGGUUCUGGAAGAUGCUUGGCCUCACCUUCAGCAGCUGACAAGGAGUCUGCCCGAAGUUGCUGAUGAUGCCUUCCAGAGCCUUCCGCUCCCGUUCAUCUGCCACGUGGUCCAGGUCAACCGCCCCUGAGAGGAAGGUCCCGGAAGACAGCUGGAUUGCUGAGGUCCAAGACUGGGGACACAUAGUCCUGCAAGACCCAGGGGAACUGGACGCCCACCCAGGAAAGAUGCUGUAUGAAGACCCUGACGGCCUGCCUGCCAGCCCACCCUGCCCUGCCCUCAACCCUCAGGUCCAUCAGAACACACCUUCCUCUGUUUCCACGCGUUCCGUACUGCCGUCAUAGAAAUA